rnacentral:rRNA from 1 species
UUAAGUUAUUAAGGGCGCACGGUGGAUGCCUUGGCACUAGAAGCCGAUGAAGGACGUUACUAACGACGAUAUGCUUUGGGGAGCUGUAAGUAAGCUUUGAUCCAGAGAUUUCCGAAUGGGGAAACCCAGCAUGAGUUAUGUCAUGUUAUCGAUAUGUGAAUACAUAGCAUAUCAGAAGGCACACCCGGAGAACUGAAACAUCUUAGUACCCGGAGGAAGAGAAAGAAAAUUCGAUUCCCUUAGUAGCGGCGAGCGAAACGGGAAGAGCCCAAACCAACAAGCUUGCUUGUUGGGGUUGUAGGACACUCUAUACGGAGUUACAAAGGACGACAUUAGACGAAUCAUCUGGAAAGAUGAAUCAAAGAAGGUAAUAAUCCUGUAGUCGAAAAUGUUGUCUCUCUUGAGUGGAUCCUGAGUACGACGGAGCACGUGAAAUUCCGUCGGAAUCUGGGAGGACCAUCUCCUAAGGCUAAAUACUCUCUAGUGACCGAUAGUGAACCAGUACCGUGAGGGAAAGGUGAAAAGCACCCCGGAAGGGGAGUGAAAUAGAACCUGAAACCGUGUGCUUACAAGUAGUCAGAGCCCGUUAAUGGGUGAUGGCGUGCCUUUUGUAGAAUGAACCGGCGAGUUACGAUUUGAUGCAAGGUUAAGCAGUAAAUGUGGAGCCGUAGCGAAAGCGAGUCUGAAUAGGGCGUUUAGUAUUUGGUCGUAGACCCGAAACCAGGUGAUCUACCCUUGGUCAGGUUGAAGUUCAGGUAACACUGAAUGGAGGACCGAACCGACUUACGUUGAAAAGUGAGCGGAUGAACUGAGGGUAGCGGAGAAAUUCCAAUCGAACCUGGAGAUAGCUGGUUCUCUCCGAAAUAGCUUUAGGGCUAGCCUCAAGUGAUGAUUAUUGGAGGUAGAGCACUGUUUGGACGAGGGGCCCCUCUCGGGUUACCGAAUUCAGACAAACUCCGAAUGCCAAUUAAUUUAACUUGGGAGUCAGAACAUGGGUGAUAAGGUCCGUGUUCGAAAGGGAAACAGCCCAGACCACCAGCUAAGGUCCCAAAAUAUAUGUUAAGUGGAAAAGGAUGUGGCGUUGCCCAGACAACUAGGAUGUUGGCUUAGAAGCAGCCAUCAUUUAAAGAGUGCGUAAUAGCUCACUAGUCGAGUGACACUGCGCCGAAAAUGUACCGGGGCUAAACAUAUUACCGAAGCUGUGGAUUGUCCUUUGGACAAUGGUAGGAGAGCGUUCUAAGGGCGUUGAAGCAUGAUCGUAAGGACAUGUGGAGCGCUUAGAAGUGAGAAUGCCGGUGUGAGUAGCGAAAGACGGGUGAGAAUCCCGUCCACCGAUUGACUAAGGUUUCCAGAGGAAGGCUCGUCCGCUCUGGGUUAGUCGGGACCUAAGCCGAGGCCGACAGGCGUAGGCGAUGGAUAACAGGUUGAUAUUCCUGUACCACCUAUAAUCGUUUUAAUCGAUGGGGGGACGCAGUAGGAUAGGCGAAGCGUGCGAUUGGAUUGCACGUCUAAGCAGUAAGGCUGAGUAUUAGGCAAAUCCGGUACUCGUUAAGGCUGAGCUGUGAUGGGGAGAAGACAUUGUGUCUUCGAGUCGUUGAUUUCACACUGCCGAGAAAAGCCUCUAGAUAGAAAAUAGGUGCCCGUACCGCAAACCGACACAGGUAGUCAAGAUGAGAAUUCUAAGGUGAGCGAGCGAACUCUCGUUAAGGAACUCGGCAAAAUGACCCCGUAACUUCGGGAGAAGGGGUGCUCUUUAGGGUUAACGCCCAGAAGAGCCGCAGUGAAUAGGCCCAAGCGACUGUUUAUCAAAAACACAGGUCUCUGCUAAACCGUAAGGUGAUGUAUAGGGGCUGACGCCUGCCCGGUGCUGGAAGGUUAAGAGGAGUGGUUAGCUUCUGCGAAGCUACGAAUCGAAGCCCCAGUAAACGGCGGCCGUAACUAUAACGGUCCUAAGGUAGCGAAAUUCCUUGUCGGGUAAGUUCCGACCCGCACGAAAGGCGUAACGAUUUGGGCACUGUCUCAACGAGAGACUCGGUGAAAUCAUAGUACCUGUGAAGAUGCAGGUUACCCGCGACAGGACGGAAAGACCCCGUGGAGCUUUACUGUAGCCUGAUAUUGAAAUUCGGCACAGCUUGUACAGGAUAGGUAGGAGCCUUUGAAACGUGAGCGCUAGCUUACGUGGAGGCGCUGGUGGGAUACUACCCUAGCUGUGUUGGCUUUCUAACCCGCACCACUUAUCGUGGUGGGAGACAGUGUCAGGCGGGCAGUUUGACUGGGGCGGUCGCCUCCUAAAAGGUAACGGAGGCGCUCAAAGGUUCCCUCAGAAUGGUUGGAAAUCAUUCAUAGAGUGUAAAGGCAUAAGGGAGCUUGACUGCGAGACCUACAAGUCGAGCAGGGUCGAAAGACGGACUUAGUGAUCCGGUGGUUCCGCAUGGAAGGGCCAUCGCUCAACGGAUAAAAGCUACCCCGGGGAUAACAGGCUUAUCUCCCCCAAGAGUUCACAUCGACGGGGAGGGUUUGGCACCUCGAUGUCGGCUCAUCGCAUCCUGGGGCUGUAGUCGGUCCCAAGGGUUGGGCUGUUCGCCCAUUAAAGCGGUACGCGAGCUGGGUUCAGAACGUCGUGAGACAGUUCGGUCCCUAUCCGUCGUGGGCGUAGGAAAUUUGAGAGGAGCUGUCCUUAGUACGAGAGGACCGGGAUGGACAUACCUCUGGUGUACCAGUUGUCGUGCCAACGGCAUAGCUGGGUAGCUAUGUGUGGACGGGAUAAGUGCUGAAAGCAUCUAAGCAUGAAGCCCCCCUCAAGAUGAGAUUUCCCAACUUCGGUUAUAAGAUCCCUCAAAGAUGAUGAGGUUAAUAGGUUCGAGGUGGAAGCAUGGUGACAUGUGGAGCUGACGAAUACUAAUCGAUCGAAGACUUAAUCAA